GAUGAAGAACGUAGCGAAAUGCGAUAAGUAAUGUGAAUUGCAGAAUUCAGUGAAUCAUCGAAUCUUUGAACGCAUCUUGCGCUCCUUGGUAUUCCUUGGAGCAUGCCUGUUUGAGUAUCAUGAGCAAAUCUCAAAGUCAAUUCCUUUUGUUGAUUCAAUUGGUUUUGCUUUGGACUUGGAGGCCUUGCAGAUUUCACAGUCUGCUCCUCUUAAAUGCAUUAGCUUGAUCUCAGUAAUUAUGCUUGGUUCCACUCGGCGUGAUAAGUAUCACUCGCUGAGGACACUGUUAAAAAGGUGGCCAGGAAAAUACUGAUUGAACCGCUUCUAACGGUCUAUUAAGUUAGACAAUUACCCUUAAGUUUGAUCUCAAAUCAGGUAGGACUACCCGCUGAACUUAAGCAUAUCAAUAAGCGGAGGA
rnacentral:misc_RNA from 1 species